rnacentral:rRNA from 1 species
UACGGGGGGGGCAAGCGUUGUUCGGAGUUACUGGGCGUAAAGGGCUCGUAGGCGGCCAACUAAGUCGGAUGUGAAAUCCCCAGGCUUAACUUGGGAACUGCAUCCGAUACUGGAUGGCUUGAAUCCGGGAGAGGGAUGCGGAAUUCCAGGUGUAGCGGUGAAAUGCGUAGAUAUCUGGAGGAACACCGGUGGCGAAGGCGGCAUCCUGGACCGGCAUUGACGCUGAUGAGCGAAAGCCAGGGGAGCAAACGGG